rnacentral:lncRNA from 1 species
ACCCUGCCCACCCGCCUCUCCUUUCCCUCGAGGGGUCUCUGAGGGAGGACUUUGGCACCACGAAGGCCUGGACCAACCGCAGCUCCACUGCUCGCUGGAUGGAAGACCCGUCCAGGUCACCUGUCUCCCCUGGUCCUCAGCUUCCUCCUCUGUGAAUUGGAGGUGAGACCAGCUCCCACCUGGCGGGGCUGUUUUGGUUGGCAGAGCCCCAUGAGGGCAGGGCAGCCACUUUGUUCUUGGGCGGCAAACCUCCCUGGGCGGCACGGAAACCACGGUGAGAAGGGGGCAGGUCGGGCACGUGCAGGGACCACGCUGCAGGGAGGACGGGAGCCGAGUCCCAGAGGAGACACAAGGAAGAGACCGCGUCUCCUGUUCCUGUCCCUGUGGGGCCCGUCGGUAAUGUCCAGAGCCCAGGCAGCCUUCUUGUGACCAUGAGGCCUGCCAUCUGAGGGCAGAUGAACUGAAAGGUGGGCCUUUGAUGUGGCUGUCGAGCCUCUGAACUUAGCAGCCUUGGAAUCCACUCUGUGUCCAGGCUUCUUGUUACUUGAAACAUUAAACUGGAUCAAGAUCUGCG